UUCUCUUUUUAAAAGCGUUUUUGGGAAACGUGGGAUGGUCAAGACUUGAGAAUGGUCACAGAAAGUUUGCUGAUUGGCUCCUGUUUCUUAAUGCCAUUAAUAAAUUGUGCGUUUGUGUAUGUUUUCAGGUAUAUGGGACAGAUUGCUCAUCAACCCCAAGCCUAAUUCCAGAAAGAAUUCCAGUCUUCAAACAGUUCGGAUAGAGAGGAGUCCCUUAUUGGACCAGGUACAGACCUUUCUCCCACAGAUGGCUCAGGCGAAUGAAAAGCUAA